AUCUUGUAGUUUUCUGAACUUCUCGGCUUUUUCCCGCUCUAUGGCCUGCAGCAUGAUAGCAAAGGAUCGGCUUUCUUUCAAACAUGCUCUGCUCCUUCUAGUGGUAGUUCAAUGGAAAUUAAUCAAACAGAUUUGAACACAUCUGACUACAGCUCCUGGCAAAGGUGACCUGACAGUUUGAAUGUCAACAGGGAUAAUAUUCAAAAUACUUAACCAGUACUGCAGCAUGAACAGCAAAUCAGAAGGCACGCCUGGUCACCUAGAAUGGAUACUGACAGUCUGUAGACUCACUGGCAAUGCUGUGUACAGCUCAAUUACUGUGUCCCAUUGUCUGAUGUAUAUUAUAUGCAAAACUCGUAACUGGUGCAUGAAUAGAGAACAGACCCUAGGAAGGACUUAACGGCCUGCACAUGGUUGUCAGUGUUUAGAUGCUAGCUGAGUUCCGUUCCAUAACAUCGCUUUAAAGACAGGGAAGAGUCCGCCAAACAUUUCAUUUCAGACACAGCGAUAGAUGGUCGAUUUGAAAUGAGAAGAUGUAGGGUAGCAAGGAGACAGUCAAGAAGGUAAUGAAAAGAAGAGUUUGGGAGUCACAGUGUUCUCAGUUGGUUGGAAUUCUGCCUCCACUGCUUACCACCGGUUUGACAUUUAGAGAUUCCACCUUUCUGAGCCUCCAUAGAUUCUAUUAAAAUGACAAUAAAGAUACCUGCUCUCCAGGCAUUCUGAGGGGAUUGGAGGAGGCUGUUUAUAUAAUUUGCUCCCGAAAUUGGUAGUUUUUAUUGUGAAAUGGGAAGCUAGGAAAUAUUGCGCUGUGACAAAAGGAGUGACAUAAACCAAGAAUGCCCCAGACAAACUAGCACAUACGGACGUUCUAUGAAAGGCGAUCUCAGAAGUCUUCAAAGGAAGGUUGGGCUAAACUGGCACCAGGCUAAGGAGAGUACCUUGCUCACAGAAAUGUGAGAGAAGUUUCAAAAAAAAACCCAUGUAUACAGAGUAUGGAAGAAGCUGACUAAAAACAUCACUGAGACUCCUUUACCCUGGACUGACCAUAUAUGCCUUUGUUCUCAGAAGAAAUGUAUGCUGUUUUCAAAUAGGUCAGAUGAGCAAUUCCUAAUGCUCCCAUCUUCUCUCAUGUCCUGAAAUAUCUAUCAAACUACAGAAAAAAAGUAAAAAAAAAAUGCUUCUGGAAAAGGGAGGGCCUAUCUUUUACUCCGUAGG